GGUUACACCAAGUGAUUAAGUUAUAUUUUUAGGUAAAAAGACAGUUAGAUUUAUAAAAAUUUUAGUUUAUUAAACAUCUAUAAAAAAGUAAAAUUUGUAUAUAGAUAGCUAAUCUAAAAAUAACUAUCAAUAUUGAAGCUGUGAUAAUCUUGAGGGAAACUGGGAUUAGAUACCCCAUUAUUCUUGAUUGUAAAUAUAAUUAAAUUUACCAGAGUACUAUGAAUAGUUAAAAAUUUAAAACUCAAAGGGCUUGGCGGUGUUUUAGACCUAUCAGGGGAACCUGUCUCGUAAUCGACAAUCCGCGCAAUAUCUAACCUUACUUUGUCAUCAGUUUGUAUACCGUCGUCGUCAGGUAACUUUUAAAAACAUAGAAGUUAGCAAUUAAAAUUCUUGAAUUAAGACGUCAGAUCAAGGUGCAGCCUAUAGUAAGGAGAGGAUGGGUUACAGUUAUAAAAAUCAUAAUUACGGAAAUUUAAAUGGAACUUAUUUUGAAGGAGGACUUGAAAGUAAACUAAAAUACACAAAUAGUUUGAAUGAGGCUCUG
rnacentral:rRNA from 1 species